CACGGACCGCACGAACGUUAUUCGGUAUCACUGGGCUUAAAGGGUGCGUAGGCGGCUUUGCAAGUUGGGUGUGAAAGCCCUCGGCUCAACCGAGGAAUUGCGCUCUAAACUGCAGUGCUUGAGGAACCUAGAGGUGAGCAGAACAGAUGGUGGAGCGGUGAAAUGCGUUGAGUAUCAUCUGGAAUACCGGAGGCGAAGGCGGCUCACUGGGAGUUUUCUGACGCUGAGGAACGAAAGCCAGGGUAGCGAACGGGG
rnacentral:rRNA from 1 species